UACAGAGGUCUCAAGCGUUGUUCGGAUUUACUGGGCGUAAAGGGCGCGUAGGCGGUCAGUGCAAGUCAGUUGUGAAAUCUCCGGGCUUAACUCGGAAGGGUCAACUGAUACUGCUCGACUAGAGUGCGGAAGGGGCAACUGGAAUUCUUGGUGUAGCGGUGAAAUGCGUAGAUAUCAAGAGGAACACCUGCGGCGAAGGCGGGUUGCUGGGCCGACACUGACGCUGAAGCGCGAAAGCUAGGGGAGCGAACGGG
rnacentral:rRNA from 1 species